rnacentral:rRNA from 1 species
UACGUAGGGGGCAAGCGUUGUCCGGAUUUACUGGGCGUAAAAGAGCGUGUAGGCGGCCAAGCAGGUCCGUUUGUGAAAACUUGGGGCUUAACCCUGAGCUUGCGGUCGAUACGGGCAUGACUGGAGUUCGGCAGGGGGAGACUGGAAUUCCUGGUGUAGCGGUAAAAUGCGCAGAUAUCAGGAGGAACACCGGUGGCGAAGGCGGGUCUCUGGGCCGAUACUGACGUGAGGAGCGAAAGCGUGGGGAGCGAACAGG